CCUCGACCCUCGAGCCCCCCACCCCUUCUCCUUUUCUCCCCAAAAUUUCGCAGCACACGCAACCUCUCCAUUUUCUUCUUUCCACAAUAUAGUCCUUCCCAUUCUUGGCAGGAGGUAGAGCAGGUGCUAGCGGCCGGGAAGGUGGGGAGGAGGAGGAGGGGAAGCGGCUGCGAGCACGCCACCGGCCCUGGACCUCGAGGGAGGAUUGGCUGGGAGGAGAAGGCGGCGGCGGCGGUUUCAAUCUGUGAUCUGGCACCGGCGCCGCCACAUUGACAGAUGGCAGGAUCUGAGGUCAGCCCUCUCCCGUGCGCCGGCGUCGGUGACAGCCGGGAGCACCACCAAGUCGUGGCAGUCCGCCUCCGGCUUCUCUGAUCAGUGGUUGUCGAGUGAGCACCGGUUUUGUGGCCUUUCAUCGAUAGAUCGUGUUGUUCAUCUUCCUGUGGUGGGCCUUCUGCUUCGUUUGUGGUCAAGAUGAGUUUCUGCUAUAUUUGUCCGUGUGAUUUUGUGUUUUCGGUGUCCUUAGAUUCAUAUGUAUGUUUGUCGAUUCAUGCUCAGUAGGUGUUUGAUGCUAUGCCAUCCAUAUGGUGGCCUGAGAUUUUGAUUUCUUUUGUCAGAAAUCGCACAAAUUAGCUCAUUCUCGACUUCGAUUCGGCGUUCAGUGUGCUGAGUGGAUCGUCUCUGCAGUUCAGUUACUGCGAGUGUUUUCAUGCUGGAGUCUUCUGUUCAGAACCCUGUUCAUGUCAAGGUUGUCUGAAUAAGCCUAGCAACAUGGAGAUAGUGAGAGCAUUUCAUUUUCAUUUGAUGCACUCCAUCCACAUCUUUCAUGUUACAAUUAAAUUCACUCAGUGCAGCACGAAACCUUCUGUAUAUAUUUGCAGUAUCUACAAUCUUUCUUCACUGGCGGCUAGAUAUCUUUUUGGGUGAAUCCACACAUGAUAUAGCUAAUAUCCUGUAUGGAGAAUUAAUUUAGGUCUGUUUUGGUGGCCAACUACUGAUAUGUUUUUAGGGGCUAGAACAAGGCACAUACUAUUUUUUUUCCUUUCGAUUGGGUGAUAUACCCCACAGCUGUAAAGAAAUGAAGUUGCAGUGUCGUACGGCAAAUUAAUUUAGCUUUGUUUCGGUGGCCAACUGCUGACAUCUUAUUAGUGGCUAGAACAAGGCACGUACUGUUUUUUUUUCUUUCGAUUGGAUGAUAUACCCCAUAGCUGUAAAUAAUGAAGUUGCAGUGUAAUGAUAUAUCAUCUUAUUUCUGCAUGUUUUGCCUUGCGGUCUUCAGUACUUGUGGUUAGCUGAUGUUUAUUUUCUGAUUCUACUGACUCUAUGUUAGCAGUCUGACAUGGUUUGCAAUGUUAGUGCUGGUCUGAAGCUUUUCUAGAAGCAUUUGUGUGUUCUCAAGCUCAGGAGUUACAAGGAGCAAUGGUGCUAUGGUCUUGAACUUGCACUGAUCUUCUACUGAAGAAUGAUCCUUAGCUUAGUUACUUAGCUUGAUGUCUUUUCGAGGAUAGGUUUGGAGUUGCAUCCACUUUUGUCUAGGUUGGUACUUCGACCAGAAUUCGCAUGACAUUAUAUGCCAAGAUCAGUUGUUUAC
rnacentral:rRNA from 1 species